CUGCGCGCUUCCGGCACCCACAGUCGGGUUCCAGGUUCCACCGUGGCGCUCCAGAGCGCCGCGCUUCUCGGGCGCACCUCUUCUCUGCCCUCUGUCACCUCAUACCCGUCAGUCCGCUCAGGACUGAUGAACCAAGUACUUUCUGAUGGAGACCGAGUUGGUCGAUGAGGCAGAGCUCAGGGGUUACCUAGUUGGGGCCAGGGUAAGGGAACAAAUGGAAAGAGCGGUUCGUAAAUCUUUAAACAGCUCUUAGAGGUUAUUUGCAAGAAUAAUUCCUAAGCAUCGGAAAUGCUGGGACAUUCUUGUGUGGGAGAAGUGUGCACACAACAAACAUAUCUUUCAGAAAGUCGAAAUGAGAUAGAUGAGAGAGGGUAGUAAAUAUAAAGUAGCAAUGGCAGGUUGCAAUGAAGAUACCGGGGCUUAGUUAAGCAAAGCAGUCGUGUUAAGGAAGACUAUUACGGCAUUAUUACUCUUCGACAAGGUGCAUAGCUUUUCCCAUUGAUAAUGGGAAAUGGUUAUGUCUCUGUGUUAGUGCGCAAGCAUUAUGCUCAAGGAGGAGAAAAGUUUAGCAUAAAAAGCCCAUGGAGUUUUAGACUUCAACCGAAUUCUUCCCCAAGUGCAUCAUCUUAGAAUAUAAAACACAGUCCUGGAUGACUGUAACCCCCAAAUUCAAGAAAAGGCAAAUUCAGAAAAUAGGUAAAUUCAAAAAAGUUUGUAGUCUCAUGCUAUUAAAUUUUUUCUGUGUGCUCAUAUAUUGCUCCCUUCCCCAAAGUUUACAACUAACCAGAUUUUCAAUGGCUCUAGCACCUACAGAAAGAACUACUGACAUACCUAAAAAGAGCUUUAACAUCAAAGGUAAUUUGUACUGGCUGAGCGUCCUGGCUUUGGAACAUUGUGAUCUAGCGAUGUGCCUCUGGGCAUGGGUUCAUCACUGGAGAAAUGAAAGUUAGAAGAGAAGACAAGGGUGCUCACCCUCUCAAAGAGUGGUAAAGAUUAAGUUAAAAAAUACUAUAUCACAAAAAAAUAGGUGAUAUAGUAGUUGUCCCAGGCGGUCCUGACCACUUUUAUAACAAAAGGAGGCGUGUCCAUCAGCGCACACCAUCUCAAAUACAUGCACAUACUGAACUUUGGGCUAAGUCAAGACAACGCCCUUUGUCGAAAAAGGAAGCAGCUGUCUCCAAAUAUAAAGAGGGCUGCAGGGGCCUGGUCUCUGCAUCUUCCAACUCUACAGCAGGGCCUGGAGAGACGAAGGCGAAGCAAACUAGAAGUGCUCGCUCGGCCCUGGUCGCCGGAGGACACAGGUUCUAGACCUGAAUUUAGGGUCGCAGACUUGCGGUGCUAACGCCUGAGGGUUCCCAGGGUUUCCCGCUCGCUUUCACAGACCACCACAAGCUUAAGACCGAGAAUCACUUCCCAGGAUGGCCUGGGAUACUCAGUGAUGAACCCACGGUGACCUGGUGCUUCCUGCCCCGAGACCUGACAGCCUCAACACUCUGGGUAAAGUAAAUUAAAAACCCGGACAACUGGAGUCUUUGAGAAUGAAAACGACAUCGGGAUUCCAGACAGCUGACUCGCUCAGAGCUCCAACUGGGUGUACGCACGGCGAGUAAAGCCAACUCCUACAACGACACGUCACCGUGCUGGGCCGCUUCUUGGCUGGUGGGCGGGGCGACCCCUACUUCCGGAUCCGGCCUCUUCUGGAAUGAAACACCAAGAGGGCAGCCCUGACAGGAUUCACCCCCAGGGAUGCUAAGACGCUGAGACCUGCUGUUCCAGCUCACUGAUUGAUCCUGCCUAAACUGAUGCUCUUUUCAGAGACUUGCUUCCAGAACAGCGUCAGGAAAGACUGCUGAUCCCAGAUGACCUUAACUCAGCCAGCCAUUCAAACCAUCCCAAUCAAGACUUCAGUUAAGGCCUGAACUUUCUGAACACAGAGACAGGACAACAAAUGAUGCCAGCUAGCUUUCUUUCCACAUUACCGUUUUCCAAUUCCCUUUUGGGUCCCCAAACAGGAAUUCCUCAUCAAUAUUCAACACACCAGAUGAAGGCAUCCAAUCCUGCUACAGGUGGCUGUGAGCCACCAUGUGGUUGCUGGGAAUUGAACUUAGGACCUCUGGAAGAGCAGUUGGUGGUCUUUCCAGCCUUUGUUUUGUCUUUUGAGACAAUAUUUCUUUGUGUAGUCCUGGCUGGCCUGAAGACCAGGCUGGCCUCGAACUCAGGGAUCCGCCUACCUCUGCCUGCCCAGCACUGGGUUGAAGACAUGGAACAACUGUCUGCAUGACUUUUUCUUGGUGCAUCCGGAACUAUCAGAACACUGAACUAAUGCCAACAUCCUCUCUCACAUUGGGAAACUUUCACAGAUCUUUAAAUGAAUCAUCUUAUAAAUGAGGCUGUGAGCAGCAAUAUUAGCAUUCAGUUUUCAGCCUUCUGUCACCCUGGAAUUGAAUCUUCUAAAUGUAUUUUAGCAAUAUGGCAUAUAAUUAACACAGUUCCUAUGUACAAACACAGACUCCCACAAAUCAACCUCUUUCUAAAUGGCCACUAAGAAGAAAAUGUCGAGAGACUAGGAUAGUCUUGUCACAGAUUACACAGUCAACGGUGGAUAACAACAGCAUUUUAACUCACUAGGAGAUUAUAAACUGAAAUUCCACUGAGUGGCAAAGAUCUACGCAAACAACAUAAAUAAAAUAUUGUGGACAUUUGUUUUAUUU
rnacentral:lncRNA from 1 species